rnacentral:rRNA from 1 species
UAGGGAAUCUUUGGCAAUGGGGGGAACCCUGACCGAGCAACGCCGCGUGAGUGAAGAAGGUUUUCGGAUCGUAAAGCCCUGUUGUUAAGGAAGAACGAGUGUGAGAAUGGAAAGUUCAUACUGUGACGGUAGUUAACCAGAAAGGGACGGCUAACUACGUGCCAGCAGCCGCGGUAACACGUAGGUCCCGAGCGUUGUCCGGAUUUAUUGGGCGUAAAGCGAGCGCAGGCGGUUAGAUAAGUCUGAAGUUAAAGGCAGUGGCUCAACCAUUGUAGGCUUUGGAAACUGUUUAACUUGAGUGCAGAAGGGGAGAGUGGAAUUCCAUGGGUAGCGGUGAAAUGCGUAGAUAUAUGGAGGAACACCGGUGGCGAAAGCUGCUCUCUGGUCUAUAACUGACGCUGAGGCUCGAAAGCGUGGGGAGCAAACAGG